CUACGGGGGGCAGCAGUGGGGAAUAUUGCACAAUGGAGGGAACUCUGAUGCAGCAACGCCGCGUGGAGGAUGACACAUUUCGGUGUGUAAACUCCUUUUAUAUGGGAAGAUAAUGACGGUAUCAUAUGAAUAAGCACCGGCUAACUCCGUGCCAGCAGCCGCGGUAAUACGGGGGGUGCAAGCGUUACUCGGAAUCACUGGGCGUAAAGCGCGCGCAGGCGGGUAGAUAAGUUGGAAGUGAAAUCCUAUGGCUCAACCAUAGAACUGCUUCCAAAACUGUUUAGCUAGAGUCUGGGAGGGUAGAUGGAAUUAGUGGUGUAGGGGUAAAAUCCGUAGAGAUCAGAAGGAAUACCAAAAGCGAAGGCGAUCUUCUGGAACAGUACUGACGCUGAGGCGCGAAAGCGUGGGGAGCAAACAGGAUUAGAUACCCGCGUAGUC
rnacentral:rRNA from 1 species